AGCAGCCGCGGUAAUUCCAGCUCCAAUAGCGUAUAUUAAAGUUGUUGCAGUUAAAAAGCUCGUAGUUGAAUUUCGGGAUCAAUAUGUCGGUCGUGCUUUUGGGUACGUACUGGCGUCAUUGGUUUCUCCUUUCUGACGAGCCAUGAUGUCAUUAAUUUGGUGUUAUGGGGAGUUAGGACUGUUACUUUGAAAAAAUUAGAGUGUUUAAAGCAGGCAUUAGCUUGAAUACAUUAGCAUGGAAUAAUGAAAUAGGACGUUCGAUCCUAUUUUGUUGGUUUCUAGGAUCAACGUAAUGAUUAAUAGGGAUAGUUGGGGGCAUUAGUAUUCAAUUGUCAGAGGUGAAAUUCUUGGAUUUAUUGAAGACUAACUACUGCGAAAGCAUUUGCCAAGGAUGUUUUCAUUAAUCAAGAACGAAAGUUAGGGGAUCGAAAGACGAUCAGAUACCGUCGUAGUCUUAACCAUAAACUAUGCCGACUAGGGAUCGGAUGAU
rnacentral:rRNA from 1 species